AUUGAACGCUGGCGGAAUGCUUUACACAUGCAAGUCGAACGGCAGCACGGACUUCGGUCUGGUGGCGAGUGGCGAACGGGUGAGUAAUGUAUCGGAACGUGCCCAGUCGUGGGGGAUAACGUAGUGAAAAUUACGCUAAUACCGCAUACGAUCUAUGGAUGAAAGCGGGGGAUCGCAAGACCUCGCGCGAUUGGAGCGGCCGAUAUCAGAUUAGGUAGUUGGUGGGGUAAAGGCCCACCAAGCCAACGAUCUGUAGCUGGUCUGAGAGGACGACCAGCCACACUGGAACUGCAAAACGCUCCAGACUCCUACGGGAGGCAGCAGUGGGGAAUUGUGGACAAUGGGCGAAAGCCUGAUCCAGCCAUUCCGCGUGCAGGAUGAAGGCCCUCGGGUUGUAAACUGCUUUUGUACAGAACGAAAAGGUUUCUACUAAUACUAGGAGCUCAUGACGGUACUGUAAGAAUAAGCACCGGCUAACUACGUGCCAGCCGCCGCGGUAA
rnacentral:rRNA from 1 species